UUUUAGAUCUGAAGCUACAAUUUCCAUCUUUUUAAUUUCAAUCCUUCUGCUUCAAUGUUCAGGCUGACGAUCCUCCUGGCGGUCCUAAUAGCCAGUUAUUCCAGCAACUGCUCAAACUCUUUCUGUGAAGAAACCUAGACAGAUAACUCCGGGUUUCAGUAAAAAAAGCCACAAAUUGGGAAUUUUAGUAAUCUUAACCAACUUCUUGAUGUAUUUUUUAAUCUGAUUAUUGUGGUGUCAGAUCAAUCUUUGGUACACCUCCUACGAGCAAUGAACAAGAAUUAUCAGGUAACUUUCUUUUAAUGGUUAUUGUAGAUGGUUUAUUUAUCUUAAUUUUUCAUGUCUUAUAGAAUAUAGAAUUUCAGCAUUUUUUCUUCUGUUACAUACAUUCCAUGAGCAUUCAUGAAAAUGUUAGAUCGAUUAGUUGAACAAUUGAGAAACUUCUGAUAUAAAUUUCAGAAAUUUAACUCGUAAGGCAAAAAAGUAACAACAUACCCGAUGUAAUUUUGCGUGUGAGGUUUGUGGAGGAUAAAGUAUAAAUUGACCCAAACCAUAUCUCGUAGAGGUAGAGAAAUGUUUUCUAGUAUACCUUCAGCUUAAAUUAAAGAAACUUUUGAGACAAUAUAUUUAAAAAGAGAACUCCUAUGAAAAUUACUAUAAAUUAUAGAAGGACGUUGACAUGUAUACAUAUGUAGAGCCAUUACCGCGAUUUCUCCGUGGUUGCUAUAGAAGGAUGUUGACAUGUAUACAUAUGUCUGAGAAAAAAGAAUUUAUAGGGAUCUAUCGAGUCUAUCAAGUAAUUUGUCUCCUCUAAUUUAAUUUCGUUACACCAAAAGUUAAACUAAAUACAACUCGUCUUGAUCUUUUGUGAUGAAUCUACUAACCUUCAAAAGUACCAACAUUUCUUCCUGUGCAGAUUGACUAUAUACGAUCUUCCACCAUAAAUGAUUCAAGUGUCGAAAAGAUGCACUUUUUACAAAAAAAAUGCCUAUUCAACAAAGUGUGCAAGAAUAAUGGGGUAACUACAUUUAUAUAGGUAGGUUAGGAAUUCUUAGGCACAACUUUUAACCAUAGAGACUUCUUCAAAAUAUAUUGUUUCCCUAGGAACUCCAAAUAAAACGUUUCCUUCAAUCAGGGGAACUUCCAGAUAUAUUUGCAUGACAUGAAUUAAGGCACAAAAUAGCUUAAGAGUUUCCCAUCACUCAACAGUCUCUUCACUAUGUCUAUCAAGACUUUAAGACUACUUUUACUUGCUUAUUAGAGUGACCAUUAAACAAAGGACAAUUCAUUUUUCAAUUUAUUUGUCCAUUUAUUUGUUAUACAUACUUAUUAGGGAAAGGUUUAAAAUUACCCUUCAACUUUCAUUUAAUAGCUAUCUUUACCCUUCGUUAUACCAUUCCGUCAUUUAUACCCUCGUUGUUUACAAAUUUGUCAUUUGUACCCGUCAUUAUAGAAGUUUCCCUGAUGGAAAGAAAUAUUUUAUUAGUAAUCCCUAGGGAAACCAUAUUUUACAAAGAGGUCCCUAUGGUAAAAAAGGUUGCCUAUGAAUUUCGAGUCGUCGUAUAUAAAUGUCUAUGACCCCAUUAGUCUGGAACACUUCGUUUAAUAUGGAUUAUUUUCUACAAAGUUCCUUUUUUUGAUACUUGAUUCAGUUAUGGUGGCAACUCUUAUAUGUUCAAUUUGCACCGGAACAAAUGUUGGUACUUUUGAUAGUUAGUAAAUUCAUCACAAAAGAUAAAAAAGGAGUUGUAUUUAGUUUAACUUUUGGGGUAAAAAUAAAUUAGAGGACACAAAUUCCAUGAUAUAAUCGAUGAAUCUAAUUUUUGUUUUUUGUAUUACAAGUCACCUUAUAAAUAUCUAAUUAAAAAGGAUAAACUCUUUAUUUCUUACUCUACAAAAAGAAAAUGUCAGGAAGGGAUUUCUAUAAACAAAGAAGAAGGUGUGAUAUUGACACAUGUGUGGCUAAAAUAAUUUUUCAAUAUAACAAAUUUUGGUUGGUCACUAAUUUUUAAUAAUUUGAUCAAUGUAAUAUUACAGCCUAGAAGUGUAGCCGCACUUAAGACCUACUUUUAUUUAGAAAUUACAAUACACAUCAAGGAUCAUAACUGAACAAAUGAAGGUAUUAAAUAAAAGAAAAUUUGAUAAAUUAAUUAAUCGAUCAAAAAAAUUCGUUGUAAAAUAUAAUCAUAAGAAAACAUUCUUAUUAUUAUUUUUUUUAAAAAAAUCAUCUAUUAUUUCUUCUUUCUUGUUUUUUCUAUUUUUUUUGAACUAGGUAAACUACCCGCUCUUCAUGCGGUGGUGAACUACGUUAAUAAUCUACAUCUGAAUAUUUGAUAAUAUAAGUGUUUUCUAGAGGGUACAGCUCUAUGAUAAAUUUCUAUAAUUAUUUUAUCCAACAAAGAAAUUAAAUGUUUUUUAAUUUUAAAACGAAAAAGAUUUUAUUUAAGUGUUUAAGAAUAUUUGAAUAAUUCUUCAAUUUAUUGUAGUUGUUUAUCACCAAACUCAUUAGAAAAGAUAUUUAAGUGUUUUGUUUAUAUUUAUAUUUUCAAAAAGUGAUACAAACAUUUUAUUCAUCAGUUGCGAGAGUUGUUCUCCUGCUCAAGGACUCUACAAACAGAAUCUAAAUAUUAUAAAUCUUCUAUAAUCAGUUGUGUACUUGAUAAGUUAAUAAAAAUAUAAAACACAUCUCGUGGAGCACAAUGAAAUAACGUAUGUCGGUUAAAUAGUUUGGAUUAAAUGUUGUCUUGUAAAGUUCCUUAUUCAAAAUCAUACGCACUGGAUGAUACAAAUUUGAUAGACAAAAGACAUAUUUUGUUAUGUAUGUUUCGAUCAAUAUGGUUAAAACUUUAUUUUCUGAGGAACUUUAAUCUAAAGGUUAUAAGGAGAUAACUAUUUCCUUAAUAUUUAUUUAAUAUAGAUACAUCCUACUUUGAGGGUUAAUUCAUUGACUCAAACCCCACAUUUGAACCCCAAAAGUCUGAUUAAUGUUGAGUACAACACUUACCAACCCACUUCCUUUAUUUUUUGGAAGUCACUAAUCGAUUGAAUGUCUCGAUAACAAAGAAUGUUGGAUAAAAGUCCGAGGUAGGGCGGAACCACCAUAUUUUUUAACACUCAAAGUUCCUUCUUGUACAUCCAAUGAAUCUUUUAGCCGCUGAAAACUCUAGAAAGAUCAAAGUCAUUUAUUUUAGAAGUUUAUGAAUUUUAAUCUACGUGACACCAUUAGUCUAAUGAUUACAUCAAACUCUUGACUGACAUGCAUGUAUUUUCUUCAAUUUAAUGAUCAAAAGCAUAAACAUAAACAGCGAAGUUUAAAACAUGUAAUCAAAAUAAAAAUUAAUAAAAUAAGCAUAAAUUAAUGACUGUAAAAAACAUACUGGAUGUGUAAUAAUAAAAUGAAACAUAAAGGAAAAAAUUAAGGCCACUAAAUGCACAUUAUUCCCUUAAGGAAAUUAUUUCUUUCUAGUAACCGAGGUUUAAAGGGAAUAGAUCCUCUUAGUAAAGAACGAUUCAAUUUACCAGUGUUUUGAUACAAAAAUAAUGGUAUCAGUAAGUCACUAAAAGGAGUAAAGUACGCGAAUAUUGAAUUGUGUAGAAGAAGAAGAAGUUCAGAAUUUUCGUUGUUUUUAAAAUGACAAAAAUUCACUCUAUUUAUAUAAAAAAAAGUGGUAGUGUGAGUAAACACUUAUUGUAUCUUAUCAGAAAGGUCACAACUCUUUGGAAAAGCCAAAAUCUUUCAUAAAAGUCAAAAUCUUUCAUAAAAGUUUCAACUGUUCAUGAAAGUCGCAACUCUGCAUUAAAGUUGCAACUCUUCAGAAAAGUCGCAACUCUUUAUAAAAAUCAUAACUUUUCAUAAAAAGCUAUUGCAAUAUUUCAUAAAAUUCACAACUUUUAAUAAAAGAGGAGGUUGAUUUUGGAAAUAAAUAAGUUAAAAGUGAAUCAUGAUUUGUGUUGGUACCAAAUAGGCGGGCUUAUAUCAAAUAUACAAAAAGACAAAAAGUACUUAACAAAAAAACAUAAUUAUACAUAAUAUCAAGACAUAAUUAAUUUAGACAAAGAUUAACAUAAAUGAUUAAUCAAACAUAAAGAACAUACUUCAUUAUUUGUAAGCUAAUAAAAUUACAUUGCAAAUUGAAUAGGGAAAUCCCUAAAAGUGGUGAUGGGAAGCAAUAAUGAAAGUCAAUGCCAGUUGAAGUUACACUAAAAUAAAGAUUAAAUUGUUUUUUUAAAACUUAGUCUUCCCAUUUUUUCUUCUACUUUUUUGCAAAGGAUCUUCUAUUUUCUUCGCUUGUUUCUUUUUUUUAGGAAAAUGAACAAAGAGGAGGGUGUUAAAUAGGUUGAGAAUAUUAAACACCACAUGUGCUUGAAACUUAACAAUCAACGCAUGAACGAAACUUUUUGUCUUCAUCAAGUACAAUCUAAAAUGACUUACAAUUGUUUUCCCUUUUUCCAAUUUCAAUAAAAGAUAAUUGAAAAGGACUUCAUUUCUCAUUGGAAGGUCUCAUUUUGUUUUAUUCGUUAAUUGCAUAAAUGUUUAAGACCAUUUGAAAAACUAAAAAUAGCUCCAAUAUGUAGAAAACAUUAGAUUUUAGUCAUCAAGACCUAGAAUUCAAAAGUAAAUCAGGACACUAACACAAAAAUUAGACAUUUAAUCUACCUUUAAGAUCAAAUGCUACUAAUUAAAAAUAACAAAAACAGUAAUAUUCGAUCAAAAUUAGGAAACAAAAUUAAUAAUGAUAUUAAUAGGAAAUAUAUAAUGUGGCAAUAAAAUGACUUGUAUGGUUAAAAUGUAAUGAUAGUGACAAAUUUUGAUAGAGGUUGAGAGGGUGAAAGAUUGGUAUAAAUUAUUUUUAGGAGGGAAUGAAGGUUGCUUAAAAAUUCGUCGAAAACUUUUUCGACGGAGUUUUGGCAUAAAACUUUUAUCAAAGAAUCUUUUGAAGAGCUCUACACAUUUACGUAAAAGGUAUAGGAUAGAGAUACUGAAACUCCAUAAAUCUAAACAGAAAGUGAUGAUUAGUGUUCGAUUUUUCUUAAAUCUAUGAAGUUUGGUAAUGAACCAGAGUAAAUGGUUUGUAGAUUUUUGUAGAGGAGAGUAAAAGGAAAAUGUGAUGAAAUAUUGGAGUAAUUUGCCACCGAUAAUGGCGGUGACGUUCAGCGACGGCGGUAGUGGUUGGUUGAUGAGUCCACAAAUUGGACUCAUUUUGACACGACCCAAACUGUCGUGAUUGACACCCACACUAAACAUUCGCUGGGAGAACCACUACUACAAUCCAAACUAAGCAACUAAACCAAAACUAAGACAACAAAGUUACGAAAAUAAGUUAAUUACUAACUAAUGCGGAAUUAAAUACCUUGAACCUAAAAUUCAAUGUAUCAAAACUCUACUAAAGAAAACUCUAAGAACAAGGGCUACAACGCCAAAACUAUCAACAGCUCAAAGUAAUCAUCACAAGUAGAUACACAACACAAUUUAAUAGUCCUAUCACCGAACCUAAUUCAAUUGUCCUCUCGAUGAACCCAAUGCAAUGGUCCUCUCAUGGAACAUAAACUAAAAUUGUUAGUACACCGGCAUGGUACCUAACCCCAGUUAGCUUAUAUGAAAAUGGAAAUACGAUCCCAUAGUUGUGCCUGAACAUGACAACUGAUCCAAUGUUUAUGCCAAAAUGUGGCAAUCCAAUCCAAGUAUGCUUGCCGGAUCGUGGUCCGAUCCCAUCAACAAACCACGAUCACAUACACAAAUACAUGAUUAAGAUCAUACAACAAGAGGUGAUUCAUGAAAAAUAAUUAUUCAAUUUUCCUCAUUUAUGAUUAAGGAGAUCAAUAAUGCAACAUUCCCAUGUAUACGUGCAUUAUAAAUAAGCAAUUAAAAACAUAUAUCACCCAAACAUGAAAUCACAAUCAUCACCUACCUCGAAUCCAAGCUUGAAUCCCCUAAGGCCCUUGAAUCAUUACUUUUCGGAUUGUUUUCGCUUUUUCUAGUUCUACAACAAUUAAUAUUCGCAAAGAUCAACAAUCAAACGUCUAAUUAUUAAGAUUAUAACAAACCCAAUAACCUCUAGAUAAAACCCAAGAUCCUAAUACCCAAAUUAGGGAUUUUUCUGUCAUAAUUCUUUGAUUAAAACUCUUCCCCAUCGAUAAUAACCCAAGCAAUAAGGUUCUACAGAUCAAAAAGUGGAUUCAGGGAGUUAAAUUCUUACCUUUAGCCUAAAAAAUGGUGAGAACUGCUAAGAAGUCGUCUAGGGUCGCUUUCUUAGCCCUAACGAUAAAAAAAUAUGGUCAUUUUAGUGUUUAUAGGUGAUUAUAAAUGGCAUCUAUACCGCUCCAGAGGACCCAUCUCGAUGCAGCGGCUCCGCAUCAGUGGCAUGAAUCCCGCUACAGUAGCCUUAGCUGGUACAGAAUGUACCCAUUCAUGAAAAGAUUAUUUUCGUUAGUUCUACUCGUCCAAAUUCGAUUCCGUAAAGUGCUACGGGUUGCUUAUCAUCUUAUAUAUCAACUAAUGUAAUAAAAUUCCAAUUAUAUCUUUCAUUCAUUGACAUAUUUUUCUACACGUUAAUGACUCUAAUUUCAUCCGAAUCUCGGGUAACCUAGGAAUUUCAAGUUACUUCCAAAAAAAAUUCUGGACUCAAUUCUUUCUUCAUUGACUUUUCCAGACGAUAGAAUUAUAUCAAUACAUAGUUAGAAUUUUGACAUAAUUAGUGUCCUCAAAUGGUUAUUUUUUCUCAAUAACUUAUGAGUAACCUUAAGUUUCAGGUAUUUUGAGUUUGAGGCAAAGCAUGGUCACUAUUUGGAAAAAAGGAACACAAAGGUUGCAAAGAACUAAGAAAUGAAGUCCUGAAGAUCUUUGAGUCCACACAACAAGUCUCCAUCAGGCAUGAAGAUCGCCUUUUGUUCCAGUGUGAUAACCCUAGAAGUAAGGGAUCAAAACGAAUUGAAAAGAAGUAAUGAGUAGUUCUAAGUCACCUAAUGAUCUAAAACACCACGAUGCUGAAGCAUAGAGCUUGCCAGCAAUAAAACCUACCAAAGGGCAAAUUGUCAAGUUGAUCAGUGAUAUGGACUAACUACGCUGAGUGAUCCGCU
rnacentral:lncRNA from 1 species